rnacentral:rRNA from 1 species
AUUGAACGCUGGCGGCAUGCCUUACACAUGCAAGUCGAACGGCAGCACGAGUGCUUGCACCUGGUGGCGAGUGGCGAACGGGUGAGUAAUACAUCGGAACGUACCUUAUCGUGGGGGAUAACGCAGCGAAAGCUGUGCUAAUACCGCAUACGCCCUGAGGGGGAAAGCGGGGGAUCGAAAGACCUCGCGCGAUUAGAGCGGCCGAUGCCUGAUUAGCUUGUUGGUGGGGUAAAAGCCCACCAAGGCGACGAUCAGUAGCUGGUCUGAGAGGACGAUCAGCCACACUGGGACUGAGACACGGCCCAGACUCCUACGGGAGGCAGCAGUGGGGAAUUUUGGACAAUGGGGGCAACCCUGAUCCAGCAAUGCCGCGUGAGUGAAGAAGGCCUUCGGGUUGUAAAGCUCUUUUGUCAGGGAAGAAACACCGGCUCUAACACAGUCCGGGAAUGACGGUACCUGAAGAAUAAGCACCGGCUAACUACGUGCCAGCCGCCGCUGUAA